ACUCGAAUAAAUGCAUGUGAAGUUAUCAACAUUUCACCAUAAACUGAUGAACAAGGAAUAAGUGGCUAAGUGGCGUUAGCAGUCAUUUUCAUGCGCCAGAGUGACAAUCGUAUACGACUAGUCGAACUAGUCGAAUCGUGUAAAUAGGCCUUUACACGAUCAAACUACCUAAAAUAUUAGAAACGUCGACGUUUCAUGCGAAGGCUUUUCGUCUCGGUGGAUAUAAAAGGCGGAAUAACACGAGAACCGAAGUAGUUACUAGUUAGUGUUGGAGUCAGGGUUAGGUUUGGG